rnacentral:rRNA from 1 species
AUACGUAGGUGGCAAGCGUUGUCCGGAAUUACUGUGUGUAAAGGGAGCGCAGGCGGGGAUGCAAGUUGGAUGUGAAAUACCGCAGCUUAACUGCGGAGCUGCAUCCCAAACUGUAUUUCUUGAGUGAAGUAGAGGUAGGCGGAAUUCCUAGUGUAGCGGUGAAAUGCGUAGAUAUUAGGAGGAACACCAGUGGCGAAGGCGGUCUACGGGGCUUUAACUGACGCUGAGGGUCGGAAGGGUGGGGUGAAAACAGGAUUAGAUCCCCUGGUGGUCCACACUGUAAACGAGGAUACUUAGGGGUGGGGGGACUGACCCCUUCCGUGCCGGAGUAAACGCAAUAAGUGAUCCUCCUGGGGAGUACGGCCGCAAGGUUGAAACUCAAAUGAAUUGACGGGG